UAUUGGGCAAUGGGCGCAAGCCUGACCCAGCAACGCCGCGUGCAGGAAGAAGGCUUUCGGGUUGUAAACUUCUUUUCUCAGGGACGAAGCAAGUGACGGUACAUGAGGAAUAAGCCACGGCUACCUACGUGCCCGCAGCCGCGGUAAUACGUAGGUGGGAAGCGUUAUCCGGAUUUACUGGGUGUAAAGGGGGUGGAGGCGGGAAAGCAAGUCAGAUGUGAAAACCAUGGGCUCAACCUGUGGCCUGCAUUUGAAACUGUUUUUCUUGAGUACUGGAGAGGCAGACGGAAUUCCUAGUGUAGCGGUGAAAUGCGUAGAUAUUAGGAGGAACACCAGUGGCGAAGGCGGUCUGCUGGACAGCAACUGACGCUGAGGCGCGAAAGCGUGGGGAGCAAACAGG
rnacentral:rRNA from 1 species